ACGGACGAACGCUGGCGGCGUGCCUAAUACAUGCAAGUCGAACGGUCUUUCUAUGGAAGCUUGCUUCCACUGAGAAGAUAGUGGCGAACGGGUGAGUAACACGUGGGUAACCUGCCCAUAAGAGGGGGGAUAACGAUCCGGAAACGGGUGCUAAUACCGCAUAGUUUUCUUGAUCGCAUGAUCGGGAAAGGAAAGACGGCCUUUGUGCUGUCGCUUAUGGAUGGACCCGCGGCGUAUUAGUUAGUUGGUGAGGUAACGGCUCACCAAGACGAUGAUACGUAGCCGACCUGAGAGGGUGAUCGGCCACAUUGGGACUGAGACACGGCCCAAACUCCUACGGGAGGCAGCAGUAGGGAAUCUUCCGCAAUGGACGAAAGUCUGACGGAGCAACGCCGCGUGAGUGAAGAAAGGUUUUCGGAUCGUAAAACUCUGUUGUCAGAGAAGAACAAGUUGGAGAGUAACUGCUCCAGCCUUGACGGUAUCUGACCAGAAAGCCACGGCUAACUACGUGCCAGCAGCGGC
rnacentral:rRNA from 1 species